CCCUCAUUGUACACCAUUCCCACACAAGUUCAGUUCGAGUUCAGCCACCCCCCCCCCCCCCCCCCCUCUUUUUUUACAUUAAGUUCUCUCUUUGUCUAAACACCUAAAUAUUGUUCUACCUUACAUUCCCAGCUCCAUAGCAACAGGGUUAGUGAAUGGCCACUGGAAACUUAUAAAAAACAAGAAUGUUCCAGGCCAGACUGAGCCAGAUGACUGUGGCAUCUUCAUGCUUAUGUAUGCCCUUUAUAAGACAUUUGACUGGACAU